rnacentral:rRNA from 1 species
CCUACGGGAGGCAGCAGUGAGGAAUAUUGGUCAAUGGACGAGAGUCUGAACCAGCCAAGUAGCGUGAAGGAUGACUGCCCUAUGGGUUGUAAACUUCUUUUAUAUGGGAAUAAAGUGUUCCACGUGUGGGAUUUUGUAUGGACCAUAUGAAUAAGGAACGGCUAACUCCGUGCCAGCCGCCGCGGGAAUACGGAGGGACCGGGCGUUAACCGGAUUUAUUGGGUUUAAAGGGAGCGUCGGUGGAUUGUUAAGUCAGUUGGGAAAGUUUGGGGCUCAACCGUAAAAUUGCAGUUGAAACUGGCAGUCUUGAGUAGAGUAGAGGUGGGCGGAAUGCGUGGUGUAGCGGUGAAAUGCUUAGAUAUCACGAAGAACUCCGAUUGCGAAGGCAGCUCACUGGACUGCAACUGACACUGAGGCUCGAAAGUGUGGGUAUCAAACAGGAUUAGAUACCCCUGUAGUC